ACACGUGGGUAAUCUGCCCUCGGCACUGGGAUAGCCCGGGGAAACCCGGAUUAAUACCGGAUAGCCUUUCGAGCCUUCGGGCUCGUCAGAAAAGGUGGCUUCGGCUUCCGGCUGAGGAUGAGCCCGCGGCGGAUUAGCUUGUUGGUGAGGUAAUGGCUCACCAAGGCUCCGAUCUGUAGCUGGUCUGAGAGGACGAUCAGCCACACUGGGACUGAGACACGGCCCAGACUCCUACGGGAGGCAGCAGUAGGGAAUCUUGCGCAAUGGGCGAAAGCCUGACGCAGCGACGCCGCGUGCGGGAAGAAGGCCUUCGGGUUGUAAACCGCUUUCAGGAGGGACGAAGCCACUCGGGUUAAUAGCCCAGAGGGUGACGGUACCUCCAGAAGAAGCCCCGGCUAACUACGUGCCAGCAGCCGCGGU
rnacentral:rRNA from 1 species